GACAGAGGAGCCAAGCGUUGUCCGGACUGACUGGCGUAAAGCGCCCGCAGGCGGCCGUUGCACGUGGGUGUGAAAGCGCUCGGCUUAACCUGAGCGAGGCCUCCAUACGGCGCGGCUCGAGCCGUCCAGAGGCCGGUGGAAUUGCCGGGUGUAGUGGUGAAAUGCGGUAGAAGAUCGGCAGGAACACCCAGGGGGAAACCAGCCGGCUGGGACGUGGCU
rnacentral:rRNA from 1 species